rnacentral:other from 1 species
GCCUGGGGUGUUCGAGGGUUUUGCAUUAUUUGAGCCUACAUAUUGACAUACGGGAUUCCAGUAUUGCAUGGUGGAUGUCAGGCCUCCUUAGAGUGGAAGGCAGAAGCGCAUGCCGCGGUUGCCCACCUGGCCUUGGCUAGGGGUCAAAAAAGCAGGAUCACGGCAUCUCGGGUUU